UACAGCCAUAUCAUGUUGAAACACUGGUUCCUAUGUGAUCACCAAAGUUAAGCAACACCAAUCCUGGUCAGUAGCUAGCUGGGUGACCACUUGCAAUUACCAGGUGUUGUAAG